rnacentral:rRNA from 1 species
AAUUGGAGGGCAAGUCUGGUGCCAGCAGCCGCGGUAAUUCCAGCUCCAAUAGCGUAUAUUAAAGUUGUUGCAGUUAAAAAGCUCGUAGUUGAAUUUCGGGGUUAGUAGGUUGGUCAUGCCUCUGGUAUGUACUGAUCUCACUGAUUCCUCCUUCCUUAUGAACCGUAAUGCCAUUAAUUUGGUGUUGCGGGGAAUUUGGACUGUUACUUUGAAAAAAUUAGAGUGUUUAAAGCAGGCUAACGCUUGAAUACAUUAGCAUGGAAUAAUGAAAUAGGACGUUCGAUCUUAUUUUGUUGGUUUCUAGGAUUGACGUAAUGAUUAAUAGGGAUAGUUGGGGGCAUUAGUAUUCAAUUGUCAGAGGUGAAAUUCUUGGAUUUAUUGAAGACUAACUACUGCGAAAGCAUUUGCCAAGGAUGUUUUCAUUAAUCAAGAACGAAGGUUAGGGGAUCGAAGACGAUCAGAUACCGUCGUAGUCUUAACCAUAAACUAUGCCGACUAGGGAUCGGAUGAUGUUAACUUUUUAAUGACUCAUUCGGCGCCUUACGGGAAACCAAAGUGU